GACGGGGGGGGCAAGUGUUCUUCGGAAUCACUGGGCGUAAAGCGCACGUAGGCGGCUUUUUAAGUCAGGGGUGAAAUCCUGGAGCUCAACUCCAGAACUGCCUUUGAUACUGGGAGCUUGAGUCCGGGAGAGGUGAGUGGAACUCCGAGUGUAGAGGUGAAAUUCGUAGAUAUUCGGAAGAACACCAGUGGCGAAGGCGGCUCACUGGCCCGGUACUGACGCUGAGGUGCGAAAGCGUGGGGAGCAAACAGG
rnacentral:rRNA from 1 species